rnacentral:rRNA from 1 species
AUUGAACGCUGGCGGCAGGCCUAACACAUGCAAGUCGAGCGGAUGAAGGGAGCUUGCUCCUGGAUUCAGCGGCGGACGGGUGAGUAAUGCCUAGGAAUCUGCCUGGUAGUGGGGGAUAACGUCCGGAAACGGGCGCUAAUACCGCAUACGUCCUGAGGGAGAAAGUGGGGGAUCUUCGGACCUCACGCUAUCAGAUGAGCCUAGGUCGGAUUAGCUAGUUGGUAGGGUAAAGGCCUACCAAGGCGACGAUCCGUAACUGGUCUGAGAGGAUGACCAGUCACACUGGAACUGAGACACGGUCCAGACUCCUACGGGAGGCCGCAGUGGGGAAUAUUGGACGAUGGGCGAAAGCCUGAUCCAGCCAUGCCGCGUGUGUGAAGAAGGUCUUCGGAUUGUAAAGUACUUUAAGUUGGGAGGAAGGGCAGUAAGUUAAUACCUUGCUGUUUUGACGUUACCAACAGAAUAAGCACCGGCUAACUUCGUG